UACGAAGGGGGCUAGCGUUGCUCGGAAUCACUGGGCGUAAAGGGUGCGUAGGCGGGUCUUUAAGUCAGGGGUGAAAUCCUGGAGCUCAACUCCAGAACUGCCUUUGAUACUGAAGAUCUUGAGUUCGGGAGAGGUGAGUGGAACUGCGAGUGUAGAGGUGAAAUUCGUAGAUAUUCGCAAGAACACCAGUGGCGAAGGCGGCUCACUGGCCCGAUACUGACGCUGAGGUGCGAAAGCUAGGGGAGCGAACGGG
rnacentral:rRNA from 1 species